UUUGAUAAGUAUUGCAGAUGAGCACAUCUAAUAGACAUGAAACAGAUCUGAGUGAGAGAUGUAUGUGUUGUUAUGUAGAGUUCACUGUUGUCAACACUGCUUUAGAUGAAUGUAAGUCAUGUAAACAAACAAAUCUACAUAAAGUAACUGAACAUAAGUUAUCUAUUUUAUUUAUCCAUUAGUAAUAUUGAUAAUUUAAGGAACAUUUGUGUUGGAUAAAAAGGGAGUUACAUCAGCAACUACCUCAACAUGUAAAUGCAGUAUUGAGCAGAUAAAGCACAGAGGUGACUGAAUCUUGUCUGGAUGUUACAGGGACAGAUGAGACACACGUGUGUUUAUCCGGUGAAGAGUGACUGAUGAAGGAAUGCUGCCAUCAAAGCCUCUCAGUGAGUACACUACUGAAAUGAAGAAUUAAAUGAGGUGAGAUUUAUUUUAAUUAUUGUAAUUUCAAACAACUAUUACAGCACUUUUCUUAUUCUUGAUUCCUGUGCCUUUGCUGCAGAUCUUCAUUUGUGAAAAAAAGGGAAAACCUCAAACAAAAGGAUAAAGUAAGAUCAUUUUGUUACUGUGCUGUUAAAAUGACUGCUUUUGUAUUAUGUUUGGGCGUUUUUUGUAUGAUCUGAAAUGUCUGCAGACUGCUGUGAGCAGUGAGGGUGGAGAGUCCACAGCAGCAUCCUGGAAAUGGUCCAGUGCUCCAUCACUCUGCCUGACCUUACUGCCUCAUCUGGACUGGAUGCUGCUGUGGUCUCUUCAUCCUCAGUGAACUCAGAGCCAGCGAGAACAUCUAGAGAAAGACCAAAAGACAUUGAGGAUGUGAUAUUGGUCAAGUUUGUUCUGCUGGUCUCUGUUCAUACAAUGAAGGCUGACUUUCAGAAGCUUCAAAAGCAUCAUCAAAAAUAGUCAUGAAACUUUUAUCCAAAGUGAUUUACAGUGCUCUUAUUACAGGGACCUACAGUCCCCUGGAUCAACCUGGAGAAAAGAGCCUUGCUGAAGGACACACCAGUGGUGAUGAACCAGCAACCUUCUGCUCACCAGUAGUCGUGCUCAUGGAGAGACACAGUGGCAGCCAGAUUGUUCUGUACAUGUUCUCCUGCUCUUGUCUCAAGGUUGUGUGGUUCAGGGGGCAUCAUCAUGGUCUUCCUCAUCCUCUGGGUCAACGAUGUCACCAUUGAGAAGAGCAAGAUUGUGAAGCACAGCGCAGCUGCAGAACUGACACAUCUGUGUUGAGAUGGCAGUAGGAUGUGGGCUCACCAUCUAUUUCGCUGAGAGGUGAUGACGUCACCAGGCGCGGAUUGGCUUCUCGAGGUGCAGCUCUACAGGCUUUAUUCACACAAACCUAAAAUACUGUUCACACAUUACUUAAGCCACAAUUUACAGCGUCGUUUCUGUAUUUGAUUAUUUGUAACCAGAUUUGUGUGUUUUCUGGUGCUUGUUGACUGAAAUAAACAUGCAGCAAGGCAAUUAACCAGCACGUUAAGAUACGUGCAACUUUUUUGUUCAAAAUUGACAAAAUGUAUAUUAUGAACGAGUACAUAAUGAAUCCAAAAACGCGUUUUGUUUUAUUGUGAAUCACUACAGUAUAUGUUCGGUGAGAUGCUUUUUUCUUUUUUCCAUCAAACCUUAAAACGCCAAAAGAAACUUUUUUUAAACUUAUUUAUUUGUUCUUUAUUCGUGGGCGAUUUUUUUUCAUGUUCUUCUAAUGUUUGUUUUCUGUACAUUCGUGUGUAUGAUUGUUUCAGUGUUUGGAGCCAAAAACUAAAGGAUGAAUCUGUGAGGGAAAUUAAUUACA